GCUACUCAAAAAAAGACAGCCUCCACGCGGCGAGCAGCGGGCAACGGGAAAGACCCGGCAGAUAGUCUUUA
rnacentral:ribozyme from 10 species